GAGGGUAUAGCUCAAGAAGCAGGGCGCAUGCUUGGCAAGUACGAGGUCCUGGGUUCAAUCCCGAGUACCUCCU
rnacentral:tRNA from 1 species